rfam:Oryza glumipatula chromosome 3, whole genome shotgun sequence.
AAUAAGUGUAGUUUUAGCACUGUUCAUGUCCAACGUUUGACCGUUCGUCUUAUUUGAAAAAAGAUUAUGAUUAGUAUUUUUAUUGUUAUUAGAUGAUAAAACAUGAAUUGUACUUUAUGUGUGACUAAUUUUUUUUUAAUAUUUUUCAUAAAAUUUUCAAAUAAGAUGGAUGGUCAAAACGCUGAGCACGCAUAUCUAUGGCUGCACUUAUU